AGAAGAUUGGCAGAAUUGUAAUGUGACUAGCUUGAAACUAGUAUUAUGUAGGUUUGAGUCCUAUAUCUUCUU
rnacentral:tRNA from 1 species